AUAUCAAAUGUGCAGAAAAAAGUGCCUUUCUUCGAAUCAUAUGCAUCCAUGUAGUCAAAGGUUUUUCUUUUUCUCUGAUGAAACGAGGAAAAAACGAGGCGCUUUAAAACGGUAAAAUUCUCUCUACUAACUAUUCUUGCUAAUUGCUUUAAUCUGUCACUUGCGUCAUCAAAAAACGGAGGAGGAUGGAUAAAGACAGACAGCAUAGUUCAAUACUCAUGACAUUACCUAUUAUAGGAAACGAAGGACAUAUUUCUGGGUUCCAGGAAGCCAAGCCGCUGUUACAUGUCAAUCACCAGAGCCGGGUCAGGCGGGAUGAGAAGUAGCACGAUCUGUCCACGUGAUCUGUCUAGCGUUGCCGCGGCGCAGAGGGUUGCAUAGGGUGUGAGGAUAUCAACGAUCCCGUCAACGGCGUCCCCAUGCGAUAUCCUCAUGGAUAUGGAAACUAUAGAAAACAUAAGAGAGAUAAGGGGGGACAGAAGGACUUGCGAAAGCGUGUUCUAUUACUGUUCUAACACCUCGCCUUACUCCUAAAAAAACCUGAAAUGUGACGUUGGCACCACGGGGUCACAGUGGAUAAACCUCACACCAUCCACACGCCGUAAACUUACUGCAAAAUAAACAAAGUCGAUUGCUUAAUUUGUAUUCUAUUUCCGUUUUGUUGAAUAAAAAUAGAUCACUUUUUCAAA